CGGGGUGCACCAGGCGCGAAAACUCUACAAUGCAGGCAACUGCGAUAGGGGGACAUCGAGUGGCAUCCACCUUGGGUGCCUGUCCCACCGUCUAAAAAACAGUGGUUAGCAAGGGCCGGGCAAGACCGGUGCCAGCCGCCGCGGUAAUACCGGCGGCUCGAGUGGUGGCCGAUAUUAUUGAGUCUAAAGGGUCCGUAGCCGGCUUUGCAAGUCCCCUGGGAAAUCCAGCGGCUUAACCGUUGGGCUUUCAUGGGAUACUACAUUGCUUGGGACUGGGAGAGGUAGGAGGUACUCGGGGGGUAGGGGUGAAAUCCUGUAAUCCCCCGGGGACCACCGGUGGCGAAGGCGUCCUACCAGAACAGGUCCGACGGUGAGGGACGAAAGCUAGGGGCACGAACCGGAUUAGAUACCCGGGUAGUCCUAGCCGUAAACGAUGCCCGCUAGGUGUCACGGCGGUCGUGAAUCGCCGUGGUGCCGUAGGGAAGCCGCGAAGCGGGCCACUUGGGAAGUACGGCCGCAAGGCUGAAACUUAAAGGAAUUGGCGGGGGAGCAC
rnacentral:rRNA from 1 species